rnacentral:rRNA from 1 species
GGAUCCUAUCAGAACUCCGCAGCUAAGCGUGCUUGGGCGAGAGUAGUACUAGGAUGGGUGACCUCCUGGGAAGUCCUCGUGUUGCACCU